rnacentral:rRNA from 1 species
AACGAACGCUGGCGGCAUGCCUAACACAUGCAAGUCGAACGAUACCUUCGGGUCGAGUGGCGCACGGGUGCGUAAAGCGUGGGAACCUGCCCCUAGGUUCUGAAGAAUUCCCCGCAAGGGGUGCUAAUACCGGAUAAUGUCCUCGGACCUAAGAUUUAUCGGCUUUGGAUGUGCCCGCGUUGGAUUAGGGUUUCGGUAGGUUAAAAGGCUACCAAGGCGAAGAUCCAUAGUGGGUCUGAUGGGAGGAGCAGCCACACUGGGAUUGCGACACGGCCCAGACUCGUACGGGAGGCAGCAGUGGGGAAUAUUGGAGAAUGGGCGAAAGCCUGCGCCAGCGAUGCCGCGGGAGUGAUGUAGGCCUUAGGGUUGUCAAGCUCUUAUACCCGGGAUGAUAAUGACAGUACCGGGAGAAUAAGCACCGGCUAACUCCGUG